rnacentral:rRNA from 1 species
AAAUUAAGGUGAAACCGCGAAAGGCUCAUUAAAUCAGUUAUGGUUCCUUAGAUCGUACCCACACUUACUUGGAUAACUGUGGUAAUUCUAGAGCUAAUACAUGCAAAUAGAGCUCCGACCGGAGACGGAAGGAGCGCUUUUAUUAGAUCAAAACCAAUCGGUGGCGGUUCGCCGUCACCGUACUCCUUGGUGACUCUGAAUAACUUGUUGCUGAUCGCACGGUCUCGAACCGGCGACGCAUCUUUCAAAUGUCUGCCUUAUCAACUGUCGAUGGUAGGUUCUGCGCCUACCAUGGUUGUAACGGGUAACGGGGAAUCAGGGUUCGAUUCCGGAGAGGGAGCCUGAGAAACGGCUACCACAUCCAAGGAAGGCAGCAGGCGCGCAAAUUACCCACUCCCGGCACGGGGAGGUAGUGACGAAAAAUAACGAUACGGGACUCAUCCGAGGCCCCGUAAUCGGAAUGAGUACACUCUAAACCCUUUAACGAGGAUCAAUUGGAGGGCCAGUCUGGUGCCAGCAGCCGCGGUAAUUCCAGCUCCAAUAGCGUAUAUUAAAGUUGUUGCGGUUAAAAAGCUCGUAGUCGAAUCUGUGUCUCGCGCCGCCGGUUCAUCGCUCGCGGUGUUUAACUGGCGUGCUCGCGGGACGUCCUGCCGGUGGGCCUACCUCCUUGGAGCGGCCCCACUACAAAUCCCGUUGCGGUGCUCUUCACCGAGUGUCGCAGC